rnacentral:rRNA from 1 species
AUUGAACGCUGGCGGCCGGCCUAACACAUGCAAGUCGAACGAGUGGCGGACGGGUGAGUAAUGUCUGGGAAACUGCCUGAUGGAGGGGGAUAACUACUGGAAACGGUAGCUAAUACCGCAUACCAUCAGCUGUGCCAAGAUGGGAUUAGUUAGUUGGUGGGGUAACGGCUCCCCAAGGGGAAGAUCCCUGGCUGGUCUGAGAGGAUUACCAGCCACACUGGAACUGAGACACGGUCCAGACUCCUACGGGAGGCAGCAGUGGGGAAUCUUGCACAAGUGGCGAAAGCCUGAUGCAGCCAUGCCGCGUGUAUGAAGAAGGCCUUCGGGUUGGAAAGUACUUUAAGCGGGGAGGCGUUACCCGCAGAAGAAGCACCGGCUAACUCCGUGCCAGCAGCCGCGGUAAUUC